rnacentral:rRNA from 1 species
AGAGUUUGAUCCUGGCUCAGGAUGAACGCUAGCUACAGGCUUAACACAUGCAAGUCGAGGGGCAGCAUUUCAGUUUGCUUGCAAACUGGAGAUGGCGACCGGCGCACGGGUGAGUAACACGUAUCCAACCUGCCGAUAACUCGGGGAUAGCCUUUCGAAAGAAAGAUUAAUACCCGAUGGUAUAAUCAGACCGCAUGGUCUUGUUAUUAAAGAAUUUCGGUUAUCGAUGGGGAUGCGUUCCAUUAGGCAGUUGGUGAGGUAACGGCUCACCAAACCUUCGAUGGAUAGGGGUUCUGAGAGGAAGGUCCCCCACAUUGGAACUGAGACACGGUCCAAACUCCUACGGGAGGCAGCAGUGAGGAAUAUUGGUCAAUGGACGCGAGUCUGAACCAGCCAAGUAGCGUGAAGGAUGACUGCCCUAUGGGUUGUAAACUUCUUUUAUAUGGGAAUAAAGUUUUCCACGUGUGGAAUUUUGUAUGUACCAUAUGAAUAAGGAUCGGCUAACUCCGUGCCAGCAGCCGCGGUAAUACGGAGGAUCCGAGGGUUAUCCGGAUUUAUUGGGUUUAAAGGGAGCGUAGGUGGACAGUUAAGUCAGUUGUGAAAGUUUGCGGCUCAACCGUAAAAUUGCAGUUGAUACUGGCUGUCUUGAGUACAGUAGAGGUGGGCGGAAUUCGUGGUGUAGCGGUGAAAUGCUUAGAUAUCACGAAGAACUCCGAUUGCGAAGGCAGCUCACUGGACUGCAACUGACACUGAUGCUCGAAAGUGUGGGUAUCAAACAGGAUUAGAUACCCUGGUAGUCCACACAGUAAACGAUGAAUACUCGCUGUUUGCGAUAUACAGUAAGCGGCCAAGCGAAAGCAUUAAGUAUUCCACCUGUGGAGUACGCCGGCAACGGUGAAACUCAAAGGAAUUGACGGGGGCCCGCACAAGCGGAGGAACAUGUGGUUUAAUUCGAUGAUACGCGAGGAACCUUACCCGGGCUUAAAUUGCAUUUGAAUAUAUUGGAAACAGUAUAGCCGUAAGGCAAAUGUGAAGGUGCUGCAUGGUUGUCGUCAGCUCGUGCCGUGAGGUGUCGGCUUAAGUGCCAUAACGAGCGCAACCCUUAUCUUUAGUUACUAACAGGUCAUGCUGAGGACUCUAGAGAGACUGCCGUCGUAAGAUGUGAGGAAGGUGGGGAUGACGUCAAAUCAGCACGGCCCUUACGUCCGGGGCUACACACGUGUUACAAUGGGGGGUACAGAAGGCAGCUACCUGGUGACAGGAUGCUAAUCCCAAAAGCCUCUCUCAGUUCGGAUCGAAGUCUGCAACCCGACUUCGUGAAGCUGGAUUCGCUAGUAAUCGCGCAUCAGCCAUGGCGCGGUGAAUACGUUCCCGGGCCUUGUACACACCGCCCGUCAAGCCAUGAAAGCCGGGGGUACCUGAAGUACGUAACCGCAAGGAGCGUCCUAGGGUAAAACUGGUAAUUGGGGCUAAGUCGUAACAAGGUA